GACGAACGCUGGCGGCGUGCUUAACACAUGCGAGUCGAACGGAAAGGCCCCUUUGGGGGUACUCGAGUGGCGCACGGGUGAGUAACACGUGAGUAACCUGCCCUUGACUUCGGGAUAACUUCAGGAAACUGGGGCUAAUACCGGAUAGGAAUCCUUGCUGCAUGGUGGGGGUUGGAAAGCUUCGGCGGUUUUGGAUGGACUCGCGGCUUAUCAGCUUGUUGGUGGGGUAGUGGCUUACCAAGGCUUUGACGGGUAGCCGGCCUGAGAGGGCGACCGGCCACAUUGGGACUGAGAUACGGCCCAGACUCCGACGGGAGGCAGCAGUGGGGAAGAUUGCACAAUGGGCGGAAGCCGGAUGCAGCAACGCCGCGUGCGGGAUGACGGCCUUCGGGUUGUAAACCGCUUUCAGCAGGGGCGAAGCUUGUGGUGACGGUACCUGCAGAAGAAGCACCGGCUAACUACGUG
rnacentral:rRNA from 1 species